rnacentral:rRNA from 1 species
AGUGAACGCUGGCGGUAUGCCUAACACAUGCAAGUCGAACGGCAGCACAGUAAGAGCUUGCUCUUACGGGUGGCGAGUGGCGGACGGGUGAGGAAUACAUCGGAAUCUACUUUUUCGUGGGGGAUAACGUAGGGAAACUUACGCUAAUACCGCAUACGACCUACGGGUGAAAGCAGGGGAUCUUCGGACCUUGCGCGAUUGAAUGAGCCGAUGUCGGAUUAGCUAGUUGGCGGGGUAAAGGCCCACCAAGGCGACGAUCCGUAGCUGGUCUGAGAGGAUGAUCAGCCACACUGGAACUGAGACACGGUCCAGACACCUACGGGAGGCAGCAGUGGGGAAUAUUGGACAAUGGGCGCAAGCCUGAUCCAGCCAUACCGCGUGGGUGAAGAAGGCCUUCGGGUUGUAAAGCCCUUUUGUUGGGAAAGAAAAGCAGCAGGUUAAUACCCCGCUGUUCUGACGGUACCCAAAGAAUAAGCACCGGCUAACUUCGUG